rnacentral:rRNA from 1 species
UACGUAGGGUGCGAGCGUUGUCCGGAAUUAUUGGGCGUAAAGAGCUCGUAGGCGGUUUGUCACGUCGGAUGUGAAAUCCCGGGGCUUAACUCCGGGCCUGCAUUCGAUACGGGCUGACUAGAGUUCGGCAGGGGAGACUGGAAUUCCUGGUGUAGCGGUGAAAUGACGCAGCUAUACAGGAGGAACACCGGUGGCGAAGGCGGGUCUCUGGGCCGAUACUGACGCUGAGGAGCGAAAGCGUGGGGAGCGAACAGG